GAUGAACGCUGGCGGCGUGCCUAAUACAUGCAAGUCGAGCGAACAGACGAGGAGCUUGCUCCUCUGACGUUAGCGGCGGACGGGUGAGUAACACGUGGAUAACCUACCUAUAAGACUGGGAUAACUUCGGGAAACCGGAGCUAAUACCGGAUAACAUGUUGAACCGCAUGGUUCAACAGUGAAAGACGGUCUUGCUGUCACUUAUAGAUGGAUCCGCGCCGCAUUAGCUAGUUGGUAAGGUAACGGCUUACCAAGGCAACGAUGCGUAGCCGACCUGAGAGGGUGAUCGGCCACACUGGAACUGAGACACGGUCCAGACUCCUACGGGAGGCAGCAGUAGGGAAUCUUCCGCAAUGGGCGAAAUCCUGACGGAGCAACGCCGCGUGAGUGAAGAAGGUCUUCGGAUCGUAAAACUCUGUUAUUAGGGGAGAACAAAUGUGUAAGUAACUAUGCACGUCUUGACGGUACCUAAUCAGAAAGCCACGGCUAACUACGUG
rnacentral:rRNA from 1 species